GACGAACGCUGGCGGCGUGCUUAACACAUGCAAGUCGAGCGGAGCGGCGCACGGGUGAGUAACGCGUGAGUAACUGCCCCCCCCUCUGGGAUAACAGUUGGAAACGGCUGCUAAUACCGGAUAGUGGGGGAUGACUCGCGUCCUAUCAGCUUGUUGGUGGGGUAGUGGCCUACCAAGGCGACGACGGGUAGCCGGCCUGAGAGGGCGACCGGCCACAUUGGGCUGAGAUACGGCCCACACUCCUACGGGAGGCAGCAGUGGGGAAUAUUGCACAAUGGGGGAAACACUGAUGCAGCAGCGCCGCGUGAGUGAAGAAGGUUUUCGGAUCGUAAAACUCUGUUGUUAGGCAUUAGUAACUGAACGUCCCCUGACGUUAUCUGACCAGGAAGCAACGGCUAACUCCGUGCCAGCAGCCGCGGUAAUUC
rnacentral:rRNA from 1 species